GUAUAUAUAUAUAUAUAUAUAUAUAUAUAUAUUUAGGGACGUGAUGCCUAGGUAGGCAAGGUAAGCAGCGCCUAUCUUGAAUAAAAUAGAUCGCUAGUAACAUUUUCCUUUUAUGGUAAAAUAUGCAUCUAAUUCAAUAAAAUUUAUGAAGGUUAC